rnacentral:misc_RNA from 1 species
UGAAGACUGCUAUUGGAGUUCUGGGAGAUUUAGCAGAUACUCUGGGCAGUAAUGCUGGUUCAUUGAUUCAACAAUCAGUAUCAAGCAAAGACUUUUUGAUUGAAUGCUUGUCGUCAGAUGACCAUUUGAUUAAGGAAUCUGCUGAGUGGGCCCAGAUGGCUAUUAGCCGUGCCAUUUCAGUUUAAAGUUGUGGGUACUUGGUACAUACUUCUUUUUUUUUUCAUGUCCCUGCAUGCAUGUAGUUGUGUUGAGUCGGAAUCCAAGAUUGCAUUCAUGUGUCAAGUCAUUGCCAUUUUCUGACAAUGGAAGAAUGUUUCAUCCAAGUUGUCAGAUACAUGUGCCAGCACCAUUGGAGGGGGUUAUUUUAUUUUGCCGUGGAGGGGAUGGGUCAUGGUGAUUGCCAGUAGUGGACGCGAUGUUACUGUGGUGUAUAUUGGGAUUGGAAGGGAAUUUUCUUUGUAACUAGCUGAAGAAAGCAAGGCUCCUGGUUUUGCUUGUGGAUCUUACCUUGGUACUCUAACAAGAAAUACCGAGGGCCUGAUGUAUCCUGUCUCUGCUUCAAGGGUUUUCAUGGUCAGCAUGUACAUGUCCCAAGUUUUGGUAGUCUUGAUACUUAGCCAUAGCUACUUUUGAUUAUUUUUUUCACAAAUAUAUAUAUAGACAUAUAUAUUUUUGGUCGGUCAGUCCGUGUCUUUGUCAUAUCAACUGGAUCUGUUUUAUAGU